AAGACAAAAGGAGAUGAGAUCCCGCGGCCAGCACACAGACACCUCUCUGCUUCCCCCAAGCCUCUCCUCUGGCCGCUCUGGCUAGCAUCCCAGGUCAGCUGCACCUACAAGGGGCCCCUCUUUGGCUCCAAAAUGGCUGCAGCCAUGGGAGCCACCUGGGUUAGGAUGGAGGGUGGCAAUGUCCUCAGAUCAGCUUCUCUGCAGAGCCCACUCUGCAAGGCUGCAGUGGAGGCCCCAGGCCGGAUGGUCUGAGAUCCUGCUCUGCCAACGACUCUAAGCUUGCUUGGCACGCCAGUAACAAAUGGUUUGAGUGGCGGUCCCACAGCCACAGGUCAGCUGCAGGGACCACAGCUAGAAAUGUAGUCAGAAAAGUAGAUGAGGCCUGCUAACACCUGUAAAGGUAAACUGCACAACAGACCAGAUGGAGGCAGGAUGAAAUCCCAAAGGAAUGCCUCCAGGAGUCCCCCCCCUUCUUCUAUUAGGACAUGUUCUGUUUUGCUAACUUUCUCACCUUCAGAAAACUGGAUUUAGUAAUUGUUUAGACCUUUCGAAGAACAGCAAAAAUAGGAAGUUACGUAUGCUAAAGAGGCGCAGUCAUCUCUUAUUCAUGGUGGUUUUUUUGGUUUAGUUUUACAGAAUCCAUCAGGAAGAAUCAGGGAUAAUCUUUGUCCAUACUGGGGGGAGGGGUCGUCCAGCCAUCUUGGAACUGAUCCAGACCAACCCAGAUGCUCCAGUCAUUCUGAGCCAUGUGAUACUUCAGGCCGGAAAGAGAUCUUGGGCAAACUUCCACACCCACCAGGCACAAGUCUGAGGAUAUGGAACCAGAGAAAGCACCAUUCACCUUGAAGUGCGUUGCAGAUCACAUGUUAACCUACUGAAGACCCACCACCCUGUUCACUUGCUAAAACGGAGCUGCUCCUGCUGUGUCUGUUUAACAAACCAUAUCCCGAGAUCUCGAGACCUCAAGGUAAGCAUCCAAACACUGUCACCACAUACACGUAUCUAUCUCCUCAUCGUACAAUCAAAAGCAAGAAACAAAUGUAUGCACUACUGUAAUACGGUGGACGCAGAAAAUGCCACUGUCGCUACCCCAGUCCCAAUGUCUGUGUGCAUCAGGACAGGUCUUGCUGUUCUCAGUCCUUAUCUUCCAUGUAAAUGUUACAAUUUGAAUAGAACAAUUUCUACUAAUGAAA